rnacentral:rRNA from 1 species
CCUGAGAAACCCAAAAGAUCGAAUGGGGAGAUUCAUCGUCAGCUCAUUUUGUAUAUAUAUAAGUUGUGAUGCGGGUUACUACUUGUAGUAUUGCUUGCACAUUCUUGUAUAUUUAUUAGCAAGAUGUUGUCGGCGUGCACUUCUCCCCUAGUAGGACGUCGCGACCCGUUGGGUGUCGGUCUACGGCCUAAGUGAUAGCCUUCGAUAUUUUUUAUAAUAUUGAAGAUCCUUAGUGUUUCCUGACCGGCUACUCGGCGGUACUCGUACGGUAUUAAGCCGCAUAAUUUUUAUGCGUCCAUAUCCGUCACAAGCAAGGCCAAUUUCUUAGUAGUACGGACCUAGUGCCGUCGCUGGUAUUGGUCAGCUGUUGGUUGUACGGUAUUCUAGGACUGGCUUUAAAUUUAAUUACCGGUCAGCGAUGCUACUGCUUUGGGUACUUUCAGG